AACUCCCGAAGCAACUUAUCUUUCAAAAAAGGUUGAGGCAUUUUGCAGGAAAACAUUUGUAUAUCUUAGGUGUAGAUUUUUCUUUUUUGAUGCGCCUGAGUUAUAUAUAAUCGACAAGGAACAAGUUUUAGAAGAGAUACAAAGAUAACAACUAAAGAAGUAAGAGAUAAAGCCUCCCAAACCACAACUCUAAAAAUUCUUCCCUACUAGCAGUCGAAUAACACUUCCAUAGAACAGUUU
rnacentral:sRNA from 1 species